CUCGUAGACUCCUACGGGAGGCAGCAGUGGGGAAUAUUGCACAAUGGGCGCAAGCCUGAUGCAGCCAUGCCGCGUGUGUGAAGAAGGCCUUCGGGUUGUAAAGCACUUUCAGUCGUGAGGAAGGUAGUGUAGUUAAUAGCUGCAUUAUUUGACGUUAGCGACAGAAGAAGCACGCUGACAUCCCGUGCCAGCAGCCGCGGUAAUACGGAGGGUGCGAGCGUUAAUCGGAAUUACUGGGCGUAAAGCGCAUGCAGGUGGUUUGUUAAGUCAGAUGUGAAAGCCCGGGGCUCAACCUCGGAAUUGCAUUUGAAACUGGCAGACUAGAGUACUGUAGAGGGGGUAGAAUUUCAGGUGUAGCGGUGAAAUGCGUAGAGAUCUGAAGGAAUACCGGUGGCGAAGGCGGCCCCCUGGACAGAUACUGACACUCAGAUGCGAAAGCGUGGGGAGCAAACAGGAUUAGAUACCCUGGUAG
rnacentral:rRNA from 1 species